AUACGUAGGGGGCGAGCGUUGUCCGGAAUGAUUGGGCGUAAAGGGCGCGUAGGCGGCCUGUUAAGUCUGGAGUGAAAGUCCUGUUUUCAAGAUGGGAAUUGCUUUGGAUGCUGAUGGGCUUGAGUGCAGGAGAGGUUAUCGGAAUUCCCGGUGUAGCGGUGAAAUGCGUAGAGAUCGGGAGGAACACCAGUGGCGAAGGCGGGUAACUGGACUGCAACUGACGCUGAGGCGCGAAAGUGUGGGGAGCAAACAGGAUUAGAUACCCUGGUAGUCCACACUGUAAACGAUGAAUGCUAGGUGUAAGAGGUAUCGACCCCUUUUGUGCCGGAGUUAACACAAUAAGCAUUCCGCCUGGGGAGUACGGCCGCAAGGUUGAAACUCAAAUGAAUUGACGGGG
rnacentral:rRNA from 1 species